rnacentral:rRNA from 1 species
UACGGAGGAUCCGAGCGUUAUCCGGAUUUAUUGGGUUUAAAGGGUGCGUAGGCGGUUUGAUGAGUUAGAGGUGAAAUGUCGGGGCUCAACCCCGAAACUGCCUCUAAUACUGUUGGACUAGAGAAUAGUUGCGGUAGGCGGAAUGUAUGGUGUAGCGGUGAAAUGCUUAGAGAUCAUACAGAACACCGAUUGCGAAGGCAGCUUACCAAACUAUAUCUGACGUUGAGGCACGAAAGCGUGGGUAGCAAACAGG